UCAAGCUAUUUCUAGGUCUACGACGAAUCUAGCGCUGUUUCCAUCCGCAUAUGAAGUGGCGAGUAUCAGGAAGUGGAUAGAUAGGCGGAAACCUGUAACGACCAUUUGGAGCUAGUUUCUACCUAGUGUUGAACUGGAUAUUCAAGCAAAAUUUCAAAAGACUCGAUUUCUAUUAAAACUUUUUUUUUCUUUAAGAAAACUAAAUAUUUUAUGAAAAUUGUUCCUGUUUAUAAAGUUCUUUAAUGCCAAAUGUAAAAAAUAUUCACGACAUUUUUCCUUUAUAAAAUGCAGAAAUGCAUACUU
rnacentral:sRNA from 1 species